ensembl:lncRNA
AGCAGCCACCAGGCCCAGGCUCUUCCAGCAGCCACUAGGCCCAGGAUCCUCCUGCUCCACCAGGCCCAGGCUCUUCCAGCAGCCACCAGGCCCAGGCUCUUCCAGCAGCCACCAGGCCCAGGCUCUUCCAGCAGCCACCAGGCCCAGGCUCUUCCAGCAGCCACCAGGCCCAGGCUCUUCCAGCAGCCACCAGGCCCAGGCUCUUCCAGCAGCCACCAGGCCCAGGAUCCUCCAGCAGCCACCAGGCCCAGGAUCCUCCAGCAGCCACCAGGCCCAGGCUCUUCCAGCAGCCACUAGGCCCAGGAUCCUCCUGCUCCACCAGGCCCAGGAUCCUCCAGCAGCCACCAGGCCCAGGCUCUUCCAGCAGCCACUAGGCCCAGGAUCCUCCUGCUCCACCAGGCCCAGGAGCGUUAAGAUGCCGCCUAAGAGGAGCAACGUUAAUGAGGAGGAACUGGAGGACAUAAAGAAAUCCCUAAACUUUAUGUCUGAAGAAAUAACAACAAUUUCAAAACAACAAAAACUGAUACUCAAUUUAAUGGAUGAUAUUAAAGAACUAAGAAGGCAGAGCGAGGAAAAGGACAAG